rnacentral:tRNA from 1 species
CCCCGUUCUCACAGAGAAUCGGUAGAACGGCGGACUGUUAAUCCGUAUGUCGCUGGUUCAAGUCCAGCUGGAGGAGCCA